rnacentral:rRNA from 1 species
GUAUACUGCAAGUCGAGCGCAGGAAGCCGUCUGAACCCUUCGGGGGGACGACGGUGGAAUGAGCGGCGGACGGGUGAGUAACACGUAAAGAACCUGCCCAUAGGUCUGGGAUAACCACGAGAAAUCGGGGCUAAUACCGGAUGUGUCAUCGGACCGCAUGGUCCGCUGAUGAAAGGCGCUCCGGCGUCGCCCAUGGAUGGCUUUGCGGUGCAUUAGCUAGUUGGUGGGGUAACGGCCCACCAAGGCGACGAUGCAUAGCCGACCUGAGAGGGUGAUCGGCCACACUGGGACUGAGACACGGCCCAGACUCCUACGGGAGGCAGCAGUAGGGAAUCUUCCACAAUGGACGAAAGUCUGAUGGAGCAACGCCGCGUGAACGAUGAAGGCUUUCGGGUCGUAAAGUUCUGUUGUAAGGGAAGAACAAGUGCCGCAGGCAAUGGCGGCACCUUGACGGUACCUUGCGAGAAAGCCACGGCUAACUACGUGCCAGCAGCGGG